UACGGGGGGGGCAAGCGUUGUUCGGAAUUACUGGGCGUAAAGGGCGCGUAGGCGGCCUGCUAAGUCGGAUGUGAAAGUCGGGGGCUCAACCCUCGAAUGCCGGUGGAUACUGUCGGGCUAGAGUGCGGAAGAGGCGAGUGGAAUUCCUGGUGUAGCGGUGAAAUGCGCAGAUAUCAGGAGGAACACCUAUUGCGAAGGCAGCUCGCUGGGACGUAACUGACGCUGGAGACGCGAAAGCGUGGGGAGCAAACAGG
rnacentral:rRNA from 1 species